rnacentral:rRNA from 1 species
AGUGAACGCUGGCGGUAGGCCUAACACAUGCAAGUCGAACGGCAACACAGUAAGAGCUUGCUCUUCCGGGUGGCGAGUGGCGGAUGGGUGAGGAAUACAUCGGAAUCUACUUUUUCGUGGGGGCUAACGUAGGGAAACUUACGCUAAUACCGCAUACGACCUCCGGGUGAAAGCAGGGGAGCUUCGGACCUUGGGGGAUUGAAUGCGCCGUUUUGGGUUUAUAUGGUCGCGGGGGUAAAGGCCCACCUAGACGACGAUCCGUAGAUGGUCUGAGAGGAGGAUCGGCCACCUUGGAACGGAGACACGGUCCAGACUCCUACGGGAGGCACCAGUGUGCAAUGUUGGGCAAUGGGCGCAAGCAUGAUCCAGCCAUACCGAGUGUGUGACGAAGGCCUUCGGGUUGUAAAGCCCGUUUGUUGGGAAAGAACAGCAGCAGGUUAAUACCCCGCUGUUCUGACGGUACCCAAAGAAUAAGCACCGGCUAACUUCGUG